CUGGCAGAGACUGAGAGCUUUGUGCAAUGGUGGCAGGGUGGGUGAAAAUGAAUCAGAUAUGAAAAUAUCUGAAGCAAUAAAUUAACGCACGGCAGGGGGGGUGAUAGCUUAAUCCUGUCUACUCCAACUCUACCUGACACCCGUGAUUGUUACAGGAGGUGGGACGCGGGAACAGUACUGGAGCGAAAAUGAACGUUCCCCAAAGAUCCCCAGCUCUGCGAUAGAAUGUGUUAUAUGUUGCCUCCUCUGAAGAUGCUUGAUAUAAAAUUGAGUUCCCUUCUAGAAUGUUCUGCGGGCUGUGGAUUGACAAGAUGGAUGCCUGGAUUUGUGUUUCUGAAAUCAAAUUCCAUUCUUUCUGAGGAUUUGUCCCAGGAAAACACCAAAGGGAAGCAUAAAGGAGGAAAAAAAAGUGGGCUGCAAGAUGGAGCUUCAAACAGCAGUUCCAGUCGAUAGCUGUAAAUUGUAGCCCCUGCCUCGGCAAACUUUUAUUUCCCUUAAAAUUUUAACUAGUGUCUGUACACUCUGAGCCUGACAUCACAUGCUCCUCCCUGGCAAUG